CAAGCCGGCAACGGCAACGCCCCUUUGGGUCCCCUCCCAUUUUAUGGGAGCUCUGUUUUCACUCUAUUAAAUCUUGCAACUGCACACACUGCUGCUCCGUGUUUGUUACUGCUCGAGCUGAGCUUUCGCUCGCCAUCCACCACUGCUGUUUGCCGCUGUGGCAGACCCAUCGCUGACUUCCACCCCUCCAGAUCCCGCACCGUGUCUGCUGUGCUGCUGAUCCAGCGAGGCGCCCAUUGCCGCUCCCAAUGGGGCUAAAGGCUCGCCUUUGUUCCUGCAUGCCUAAGUGCCCGGGUUCAUCCUAAUCGAGCUAAACACUAGUCGCUGGGUUCCACAGUUUUAUUCCAUGACCCACAGCUUCUGAUAGAGCUGUAACACUCACCGCAUGGCCCAAGAUUCCAUUCCUUGGAAUCUGUGAUGCCAAGAACCGCAGGUCAGAGAACAAGAGGCUUGCCGCCAUCUUGGAAGCGGUCCGCCGCCAUCUUGGAAGCGGUCCGCCACCAUCUUGGGAACUCUAAGAAAAAGGACUGCCCGCCACCCCCUCCAGCCACUCCUGGAAAGAGAAGAAACACAAACAAGCCAGUUUGCAAUCACACUGACAAUUGUCAAGGUAUGAAAUGGAGCAGACAGCAGUGUGUGCGGAUAGAAGCCAAAGCAUACAGCACCACACAAAUCAUACAUCGCCGCAGGAGAGAGGCAGGGACACCUUUUAUGCCUCUGAGUUUUCUCCAGAGAGACGGGGUAGACUUUGCUUCCCUGCCCUGGAAUUUUUUAUUCAGACACUGUUGCUCCUCUGUGGUUCUGCA
rnacentral:lncRNA from 10 species